rnacentral:piRNA from 1 species
GAGUGUUCUGUGAUGAUGGAAAUGGUC